rnacentral:rRNA from 1 species
UAGGUAUUGUGAUAAGGUAUCUUACUUUNNAAUACAUAGGGGUAAGAAGCNAACGCAGGGAACUNAAACAUCUAAGUACCUGCAGGAAAGGACAUCAACCGAGACUCCGCAAG